GUGGACAGGGGGGCGGUGCGCAGGAAGGAAGAUGGGGCAACUGGCGGUGGGGUCUGCGUUUGGAGGGGGUCGGUUCCACCCGCACGGCCCCUGGUGACCCGCAGGACACAAGUGCAUUUGUGCUGAGCCGUGGCGGGGAUUAAAGUGCCAUACGGCCAGAGCGAGGGGGGCGAGGCGGGUGGAAAACAACUCCCCGCGCGCACAAAGCGCGCAUUGUUCCAGCCACCUCCAUUAUGCCGCGCUGCAGCCAAGAGCCCGUUUCGCAACUGCCCGCCCGGCGCUCGCACUCGCGCGUGCGCGCGGGCACACACGAAUUUGCCUGGCCUGAGCCGGGGGUGGGUGGGCUCCGCCGGGACUGGGAGAGGCCGCUGGGGCCGGGGGUUGGUUAGUGCGGGCCGGGGGCUCGCAGGCGUCUUUUUCAGCUUGGCUGCUUGUCUAUUCAAGGGUGGGCUUUUUAAUGUCUUCUCUCCGGAAUCUCCUCUCCAGCACUUUUCCUUUUCGGUGGCUCCUUAGGCCUGCCCAGAGCGCACCCUGGAGCCUGGAGCUCCCUGGGAGAGGUGGCGACGACGGGGUGGGGGUUGGGAAGGGAGCGCUCUCCGCUGCAGUCGCCCGCCGAUCGCAGCCCCAGGCGCGCGACGCUUGCCUGCUCUGCUGUGGACACGUGCUGGGGAAGAACGGGGGAAGCAUCCCGCCUUCCAAGGAGAGGCUCCCCGAGUGCCCCCGGGCUCUCCAGGACUUCCCUGGGCUCGGAGCGGGAGCUGCGGAAUCCCGCGUCGCACUGCCAGGCCUGCUCGCCGCUCAAACCCGGUUGCCAAAGCCUCGCCCCCAACCCUGCCCAGCGACGAUUUGGCAAUUUCAGGCUGCUGGAGCGCCAUCCCUGGACCGUAAGGCGUGAGUGAGGCUCCCGGUGCUUUCACCUCUGCGCUCCCGCUCGGGGCCGGGAGACUGGCUGAGCACAACCAGGCCGGGUAGCUAGGGAUGGCCUUGGCCGGAGAGGCGGAGAGAAAGGGCAGGCCGCGCGGCUCCGGAAACCGCGGACCUGCCGGGUGGAUCACUGACCCCCAAGGUCACGGAGUGUGGGGAAACCACGGACUCACGCCAGAGCAGAGGCCACCGCUCCAGUCGGAACCCUCCUGGGGGGUGCGUAGUUCCGCAAAGGAGCCCAGAGGAUACGAUAGAAGACUUAGCUCGGAGCCAAUACUAGUCCCAACACUGCCCUCCAUCAAAGGGGCGCGUUUUCACUUAGCCUUGGCGCCCACAUUUCGAGCGCUGGGGCAGGGCCUCCUGGAGUCCUCAGCACACGUGUGUCGGGGCGCUAGUGUA